UACGAAGGGUGGCAAACAGUUGCUCGGAAUAUUGGGCGUAAAGCGCACGUAGGCGGCCUUGUAAGUCGAUGUGAAAUCCCUCGGCUUAACCGAGGACGUGCAUCCGAAACUGUGAGGCUCGAGUAUGGAAGAGGGUCGCAGAAUUCCCGGUGUAGAGGUGAAAUUCGUAGAUAUCGGGGAAGGAAUACCAGUGGCGAAGGCGGCGACCUGGGCCAAUACUGACGCUGAGGUGCGAAAGCGUGGGGAGCAAACAGG
rnacentral:rRNA from 1 species